UCCGUAGGCAGCGAGCGUUGUUCGGAGUUACUGGGCGUAAAGGGUGUGUAGGCGGUUUUCUAAGUUUGGUGUGAAAUCUCCCGGCUCAACCGGGAGGGUGCGCCGAAAACUGGGAGACUAGAGUGCGGGAGGGGAGAGUAGAAUUCCUGGUGUAGCGGUGAAAUGCGUAGAUAUCAGGAGGAAUACCGGUGGGGUAGACGGCUCUCUGGACCGCCACUGACGCUGAGACACGAAAGCGUGGGUAGCAAACAGG
rnacentral:rRNA from 1 species